rnacentral:rRNA from 1 species
AAUUUUGUACAAUGGGUGAAACCCUGAUCCAGCCAUCCCGCGUGAAUGAUGAAGGCCNNNGGGUUNUAAAGUACGCUUGGCAGNGAANCAACGGUAUCUCCUAAUACGAGAUACUGCUGACGGUAGCUGCAGAAUAUGCACCGGAUAACUACGUGCCGGCCGCCGCGGUAAUACGUAGGGUGCAAGCGUUAAUCAGAAUUACUGGGCGUAAAGCGUGUGUAGGCGGUUCGGAAAGAAAGAUGUGAAAUCCCAGGGCUCAACAUUGGAACUGCAUUUUUAACUGCCGAGCUAGAGUAUGUCAGAGGGGGGUAGAAUUCCACGUGUAGCAGUGAAAUGCGUAGAUAUGUGGAGGAAUACCGAUGGCGAAGGCAGCCCCCUGGGAUAAUACUGACGCUCAGACACGAAAGCGUGGGGAGCAAACAGG